GAAAAGGGAAUUAGGUAAAAUGUGUGACCUUUGGAGUUCUCAGACUCUCUUCCUCUCACGUAACGGCGCAGCGGAGUCUUCAAACCUCCGGCGAUCGACAUCAUCUUCUCCGAUUGAACACGGUGCCGCCAUGAAUCAAGGAUCAGAAGGCCUCUAUCCACUCUCUUCUUUCGAUUAGGACACCUCCUGUUACUCUCUCUCUCUCACAAACGCAUAGAGGCGGCCGUCUCGUACCCUCUCCGAUCGAAUCUCCACCGUGAGUCGAUGAAACGAAACAAUAUCGUCUCGCCAAGAACACAGCGCCGCUCAUACCUUCUCAGUCUCCGCUCUCUUUGUUCCAGCCGUCAUCUCCGAUUCCGAUUUCGUUCUCUAUUUGCGUUCCAUUCGAAUUCGAUGCUUCUUCGACGUCGUGGGGAAGAUGAUUAGUUCAACUGUAAGUCCGAUGAGUUCUUUGAUGUCUUGCGUUCAACUCUGUUUCUUCUCUUCUUCUUUCUGAGCCCGACUGCACUUUGAUACGAUGCAGACGAAUCGUGGCGGAGAAGUGUUGUUUGUAAAGAAGAUGACGAUCGAUGAAGUGUAGUAUUGUUGUUCUUCGUGAUGCAGAAACAACGUGAAGGCUUCUUGAAGAAUUAGAGAUCACUAUUGGUUUGUUGGAGAUAACAGGUAAUGAUUGAAGAUUGUGUUUGAAGAAUGAUAUGAUUGAAGGUGAUGAAUCCAGAAGGUUGAAGAUGAUGCAGAGAGGAGGAAGAAGAAGGUCUAGGGGAUGAUGAAGAUUAUGAAGGUGGCGAUGGAAGAGAAUGAUGGAGCAGGUGGUGGUGUUUGAAGAUAGAGUAGUGUGAAGUGAAGAUUUUCUGCUGUGGUGGUGAAUUGAAGAUGAAGAUGAAGUUCUGAGAUCGAAGAUGGUGAAUUGUUCAGAGAGUUAAGUGAAGGUGAAGAAGGUGAGAAAAUGGAGAUUGAAGAAGAUGAAUUGAAGAAUGUGGAGAGAGUGAUGAGUUCGCAGAGGAGUGGUGAAGAUGAUGAGAGAAUGAGGAGGGAAUCGAGAGAGAGUCUGAAAUGGUGGAGGUGUUUGUUAUAUAGAUUUCCCAGGCCUGGCAGACUUGGUGUGUUGAAUUGCAGGGCAUAAUUUAUUCUCUACUUGAAAGCUAACAGAGCCCAUGGAAGUAGGUUUGGAGAUUUGUACCUGUACAAUGGAGUUUAUAGACCAUAUGCUUAGAAGUACUCAUGUGAUGUAUCAUUUCUUUUUUUCUUUCCAAAAUUGUAGAAACAGUAGAGUAGGAUUGGGAAUGUUUUUAUGAGAUCCUUUUUUGUAGUUUGGUUCUUUGUAAUGGAUAUUGGACUCUUUGUGUAGUUUUUAUGUAAUAUGGUUGAAACUUGUAAUGACUCUCUCUUUUAUGAAUCAUUCCCUUUUAUGAA